UGGGGAAUUGUUCGCAAUGGGCGCAAGCCUGACGACGCAACGCCGCGUGGAGGAUGAAGGCCUUCGGGUCGUAAACUCCUGUUGAUCGGGAAGAACGGGCUCCGGGUGAAUAGCCCGGGGCAAUGACGGUACCGAUUGAGGAAGCCACGGCUAACUCUGUGCCAGCAGCCGCGGUAAUACAGAGGUGGCAAGCGUUGUUCGGAAUUACUGGGCGUAAAGGGCGCGUAGGUGGCCUUUUCAGUCAGACGUGAAAUCCCCAGGCUUAACCUGGGAACUGCGUCUGAUACUGGAAGGCUUGAGUUCGGGAGAGGGAUGUGGAAUUCCAGGUGUAGCGGUGAAAUGCGUAGAUAUCUGGAGGAACACCGGUGGCGAAGGCGGCAUCCUGGACCGAAACUGACACUGAGGCGCGAAAGCCAGGGGAGCAAACGG
rnacentral:rRNA from 1 species